rfam:Mycobacterium farcinogenes DSM 43637 genomic scaffold, SCAFFOLD00001
AGCUCGAUCGGGUCGGCGGCACGCGUCACCACGAGGUAAUCCCUCAGCGCCACGCUGUGCCGGUUCUC